GACGAACGCUGGCGGCGUGCCUAAUACAUGCAAGUCGAACGCAGGGGGGACGGGUGAGUAACACGUGGGUAACCUCCCAUCAGAGGGGAUAACACUUGGAAACAGGUGCUAAACCGAUACUGAUGGAUGAACCCGCGGGGCAUUAGCUAGUUGGUGAGGUAACGGCUCACCAAGGCCACGAUGCAUAGCCGGCCUGAGAGGAUGAUCGGCCACACUGGGACUGAGACACGGCCCAGACUCCUACGGGAGGCAGCAGUGGGGAAUCUUCGGCAAUGGGCGAAAGGCUGACGCAGCCACGCCGCGUGAGUGAAGAAGGUUUUCGGAUCGUAAAGCUCUGUUGUUAGAGAAGCGUUAUCUACAGAGAAAGCCACGGCUAACUACGUGCCAGCAGCCGCGGUAAUUC
rnacentral:rRNA from 1 species